UACAACAUUCACCGUCGCCUGCGGCGUCGUCUCGUUGGCUCACUAGGUCCUGCUUCCUUCGUUUCGCAUUCAUUCCCAUCUCAUCUUGGAGGAUCACGGCGAGAGAUCGGCCUAUGAACGUGUGUAUCAUCCCUGAUGACAAGUUUUUAGCAUCAGGCGAGGCCUGGCGUCAAGUUCCUUGGUCUUACAGAUCACGGAGCGGCGAGAUGGUCUCUUCGGAUAAGAUCAGGGAGCAGCGAGAUGGCUGCAGAGACCAGUGAUCAUGGUGCUCUCUAUUCUAUACAAGCUGGAAUGGGCAGAUUGAUCCCAUCAUCUCGUUCUGGAGACGGCGUUUGUCUCAUCUGAUGGAUCGCGUCUGACUUGCUUCUAGAGACGGACGUUUCUCUCAUCUUAUGGAUCGAUCGCACCUGACUUAAAUUUUGUUUAUUUCAAGCUAGGUUCACAAUUAUGACUUUUUUCCGUGGAACAUGUAUGAACUCGUACUGCAUGUGCUUCAAUCAUUAUGUACACAUAUUUUAUUUAUUCUAAUAAAAAAUAGUUAAAUACA